rnacentral:rRNA from 1 species
AACGAACGCUGGCGGCAUGCCUAACACAUGCAAGUCGAACGAGACCUUCGGGUCUAGUGGCGCACGGGUGCGUAACGCGUUGGAACCUGCCCUUAGGUUACGAAUAACUCCCCGAAAGGGGUGCUAAUACAGGAUAAUGUCUUCGGUCCAAGGAUUUAUGGCCUUUGGAUGGGCUUGCGUUGGAUUAGCUAGUUGGUAGGGUAAAAGCCUACCAAGGCGACGAUUCAUAGCUGGUCUGAGAGGAUGAUCAGCCACACUGGGACUGAGACACGGCCCAGACUCCUACGGGAGGCAGCAGUGGGGAAUAUUGAACAAUGGGCGAAAGCCUGAUCCAGCAAUGCCGCGUGAGUUAUGAAGGCCUUAGGGUUGUAGAGCUCUUUUGCCCGGGAUGAUAAUGACAGUACCGGGAGAAUAAGCUCCGGCUAACUCCGUG